rnacentral:rRNA from 1 species
CUGAACCACUUCGGUGGGGAUGAGUGGCGAACGGGUGAGUAACACGUGGGUAAUCUGCCCUGCACUCUGGGAUAAGCCUUGGAAACGAGGUCUAAUACCGGAUAUCACUUUCUCUCGCAUGGGAGAUUGUUGAAAGUUCUGGCGGUGCAGGAUGAACCCGCGGCCUAUCAGCUUGUUGGUGGGGUAAUGGCCUACCAAGGCGACGACGGGUAGCCGGCCUGAGAGGGUGACCGGCCACACUGGGACUGAGACACGGCCCAGACUCCUACGGGAGGCAGCAGUGGGGAAUAUUGCACAAUGGGCGCAAGCCUGAUGCAGCGACGCCGCGUGAGGGAUGACGGCCUUCGGGUUGUAAACCUCUUUCGCCAGGGACGAAGCGCAAGUGACGGUACCUGGAUAAGAAGCACCGGCUAACUACGUGCCAGCAGCCGCGGUAAUACGUAGGGUGCGAGCGUUGUCCGGAUUUAUUGGGCGUAAAGAGCUCGUAGGCGGUUUGUCGCGUCGGCCGUGAAAUCUCCACGCUUAACGUGGAGCGUGCGGUCGAUACGGGCAGACUUGAGUUCGGUAGGGGAGACUGGAAUUCCUGGUGUAGCGGUGAAAUGCGCAGAUAUCAGGAGGAACACCGGUGGCGAAGGCGGGUCUCUGGGCCGAUACUGACGCUGAGGAGCGAAAGCGUGGGGAGCGAACAGGAUUAGAUACCCUGGUA